rnacentral:rRNA from 1 species
UACGUAGGGUGCGAGCGUUAAUCGGAAUUACUGGGCGUAAAGCGUGCGCAGGCGGUUUUGUAAGACCGCGGUGAAAUCCCCGGGCUCAACCUGGGAACCGCCUUUGUGACUGCAAGGCUUGAGUGCGGCAGAGGGGGAUGGAAUUCCGCGUGUAGCAGUGAAAUGCGUAGAUAUGCGGAGGAACACCGAUGGCGAAGGCAAUCCCCUGGGCCUGCACUGACGCUCAUGCACGAAAGCGUGGGGAGCAAACAGG